UACGUAGGGUGCGAGCGUUAAUCGGAAUACUGGGCGUAAAGCGUGCGCAGGCGGUUCGUUGUGUCGGCGGUGAAAGCCCCGGCUUAACCUGGGAAUGGCCGUUGAAACUGGCGAACUGGAGUGUGGCAGAGGGGGGUGGAAUUCCGCGUGUAGCAGUGAAAUGCGUAGAGAUGCGGAGGAACACCGAUGGCGAAGGCAGCCCCCUGGGCUAACACUGACGCUCAGGCACGAAAGCGUGGGGAGCAAACAGG
rnacentral:rRNA from 1 species